rnacentral:rRNA from 1 species
CGAGCUGACCUGCGGAGGUCAUUACCGAGUGUAGGGUUCCUAGCGAGCCCAACCUCCCACCCGUGUUUACUGUACCUUAGUUGCUUCGGCGGGCCCGCCAUUCAUGGCCGCCGGGGGCUCUCAGCCCCGGGCCCGCGCCCGCCGGAGACACCACGAACUCUGUCUGAUCUAGUGAAGUCUGAGUUGAUUGUAUCGCAAUCAGUUAAAACUUUCAACAAUGGAUCUCUUGGUUCCGGCAUCGAUGAAGAACGCAGCGAAAUGCGAUAACUAGUGUGAAUUGCAGAAUUCCGUGAAUCAUCGAGUCUUUGAACGCACAUUGCGCCCCCUGGUAUUCCGGGGGGCAUGCCUGUCCGAGCGUCAUUGCUGCCCAUCAAGCACGGCUUGUGUGUUGGGUCGUCGUCCCCUCUCCGGGGGGGACGGGCCCCAAAGGCAGCGGCGGCACCGCGUCCGAUCCUCGAGCGUAUGGGGCUUUGUCACCCGCUCUGUAGGCCCGGCCGGCGCUUGCCGAACGCAAAUCAAUCUUUUUCCAGGUUGACCUCGGAUCAGGUAGGGAUACCCGCUGAACUUAAGCAUAUCAAAAA